CCUACGGGUGGCUGCAGUGAGGAAUAUUGGUCAAUGGACGAGAGUCUGAACCAGCCAAGUAGCGUGAAGGAUGACUGCCCUAUGGGUUGUAAACUUCUUUUAUAUGGGAAUAAAAUGUUCCACGUGUGGGUUUUUGUAUGUACCAUAUGAAUAAGGAUCGGCUAACUCCGUGCCAGCAGCCGCGGUACUACGGAGGAUCCGUUCGUUAUCCGGAUUUAUUGGGUUUAAAGGGAGCGUAGGUGGGUUGUUAAGUCAGUUGUGAAAGUUUGCGGCUCAACCGUAAAAUUGCAGUUGAAACUGGCAGUCUAGAGUACAGUAGAGGUAGGCGGAAUUCGUGGUGUAGCGGUGAAAUGCUUAGAUAUCACGAAGAACUCCGAUUGCGAAGGCAGCUCACUGGACUGCAACUGACACUGAGGCUCGAAAGUGUGGGUAUCAAACAGGAUUAGAUACCCCAGUAGUC
rnacentral:rRNA from 1 species